CUAAAACCUCAAGUUUUGUUUCUGUUCCAUGUGCCUGGGUACAGGAAAUCCACAGUUUGGAGCCAAACAGGAAGCAGUGUUGUAUAAAACACAACAAGCUGCACAGCAUCACACACCUCAGCAUCUGAGAUAAUUAAGUGGCUGACAGUAAUUGAAAAUAUCCCCGCUUCUUGCACAAAAUCUAGACAGCAACCUUCCUGACCAAGAAGUUUACAGGACUGCCGCUUUGUUGGUGAGGAGGAAACUGAAGCAGUUAUCCAUUACCAGUGCCACAUUCCUUUUCCUAUACAUGCUUUCAGCUGCAAGCUCCAGGUGUAAAAUCAGAAGCUGCGAGCGGUGUUUUCCUCCCGCAUUUUGGGCAGGAGGUGGACCAACCGCACAAUGACAGAUUAUGCAGAUCCUCCCGGAGCAUCUAAUCAAUCACGGUGGCGCGGGAGGG
ensembl:lncRNA